GACGUAGGGCGCGAGCGUUGUCCGGAAUUACUGGGCGUAAAGGGCUCGUAGGCGGCCAACUAAGUCGGAUGUGAAAUCCCCAAGCUUAACUUGGGAACUGCAUCCGAUACUGGAUGGCUUGAAUCCGGGAGAGGGAUGCAGAAUUCCAGGUGUAGCGGUGAAAUGCGUAGAUAUCUGGAGGAAUACCGGUGGCGAAGGCGGCAUCCUGGACCGGCAUUGACGCUGAGGAGCGAAAGCUAGGGGAGCAAACGGG
rnacentral:rRNA from 1 species